UAUGUGAUCGUCUCUCGCAUAUCAAUAAGCGGAGGAAAAGAAACUAACAAGGAUUCCCCUAGUAACGGCGAGUGAAGCGGGAAGAGCUCAAAUUUGAAAUCUUAAAGGGUUUCCCUUUACGAAUUGUAGUUUAAAGAAGUGUUUUCUGUUGAGGUUUUGGUAAAAGUUCUUUGGAAUAGGACAUCAUAGAGGGUGAGAAUCCCGUAUUUGACCUUUACUUUCAACUUUGUGAUACACUUUCAAAGAGUCGGAUUGUUUGGGAAUGCAGUCCAAAAUGGGUGGUAAAUUUCAUCUAAAGCUAAAUAUUGGCGAGAGACCGAUAGCGAACAAGUACCGUGAGGGAAAGAUGAAAAGAACUUUGAAAAGAGAGUUAAACAGUACGUGAAAUUGUCAAAAGGGAAGCGUUUGACACCAGUGUUGUUUUUCUGAAAAUCAAUUAAAGAACUGUUUAUGCUAAGUUGUUUAGACUUUAUCAGCUAUCUGUUUAGUUUUGAGCUUUUCUUUAAUGCACUUUUCAGUUAACAAGUCAACAUCAAUUUCUUUUGCUGUAAAAAAGCUUGAGGAAGGUGGCUUGAGAUUCGUCUUAAGUGUUUAUAGCCUCUUGCCUAUGCAGUCGGAGAGAUUGAGGUCUGCAGCGUAGAUCCUUCGGGGCUAAAUGCAUUUGUGCUAAGCUAUAGCAUUUUAUAGACAACUUGUUGACUAUGAUUUGUCUUGUAGCUUACUCGCUUAUGUUAUUUUACCUACGCUUAGGAUGUUGAGUAGCGACAUACGCAC
rnacentral:rRNA from 1 species